AGGUUACUGCUAUCGGUGUUCGCCUAAGCCAUGCGAGUCAUAUGUUCGUAAGAACAUGGCGUACUGCUCAGUAACACGUGGAUAACCUGCCCUUGGGUCCGGCAUAACCCCGGGAAACUGGGGAUAAUUCCAGAUAACGCACAUAUGCUGGAAUGCUUUUUGCGUAAAAUGGAUUCGUCUGCCCAAGGAUGGGUCUGCGGCCUAUCAGGUAGUAGUGGGUGUAAUGUACCUACUAGCCUACGACGGGUACGGGUUGUGAGAGCAAGAGCCCGGAGAAGGAUUCUGAGACAUGAAUCCAGGCCCUACGGGGCGCAGCAGGCGCGAAAACUUUACAAUGCGGGAAACCGUGAUAAGGGGACACCGAGUGCCGGCAUCCUAUGCUGGCUGUCCGGGUGUGUAAAAUACACCUGUUAGCAAGGGCCGGGCAAGACCGGUGCCAGCCGCCGCGGUAACACCGGCGGCCCGAGUGGUGAUCGUGAUUAUCGGGUCUAAAGGGUCCGUAGCCGGUUUGGUCAGUCCUCCGGGAAAUCUGACGGCUUAACCGUUAGGCUUUCGGGGGAUACUGCCAGACUUGGAACCGGGAGAGGUAAGAGGUACUACAGGGGUAGGAGUGAAAUCUUGUAAUCCCUGUGGGACCACCUGUGGCGAAGGCGUCUUACCAGAACGGGUUCGACGGUGAGGGACGAAAGCUGGGGGCACGAACCGGAUUAGAUACCCGGGUAGUCCCAGCCGUAAACGAUGCUCGCUAGGUGUCAGGCAUGGCGCGACCGUGUCUGGUGCCGCAGGGAAGCCGUGAAGCGAGCCACCUGGGAAGUACGGCCGCAAGGCUGAAACUUAA
rnacentral:rRNA from 1 species